rnacentral:rRNA from 1 species
CAGCCGCCGCGGGAAAACGGAGGGUGCAAGCGUUAUCCGGAUUUAUUGGGUUUAAAGGGUCCGUAGGCGGAUCUGUAAGUCAGUGGUGAAAUCUCACAGCUUAACUGUGAAACUGCCAUUGAUACUGCAGGUCUUGAGUAAAUUUGAAGUGGCUGGAAUAAGUAGUGUAGCGGUGAAAUGCAUAGAUAUUACUUAGAACACCAAUUGCGAAGGCAGGUCACUAAGAUUUAACUGACGCUGAUGGACGAAAGCGUGGGGAGCGAACAGGAUUAGAGACCCCAGUAGUCCCUGUCUCUUAUAC